CAUCUUAAGCGCCCUGAAGUGGAAGGUUCAUCGUAAUAAUUGUAUAAUUCAAUUUCGUGCAUCUUCAAUGGAAGAUAAUAAUACAAUUGCUCUUGUCGUAAUAUGGUGGUAGCAGAGUCCGGUUGAGACAGCGUGAGAAGAGAGGAUAACGACCAUAAGGGAAAUACUGGGAUGUUAAUUAAUGGUCAAUUUAUUUUAAUCAGGAAAUAACGCCUUUACACGCGAUAAGGAAUUUUGACAUACAGAGCAACAAUUUUAGCAAGAAGACAGUUCAUGAUGGCCGUAUAUAGCCGAAACAUGUAAUGGUGAAGGGUGACUAUAUAAUGUUGUGUUUAAGGUGGAAAUAUAAGUGAAAUAAAUGAUAUAUUAAUGCAAUAGGACGCCGAAAUACAAUAUUAGGAAAAGAAAACAAUGGGCACAUCAGUUCUUCAUGAAUUCAUGGACAGGGACGCUUGGUUUUGUGGGUGCUGCUGGAACUGCCACUGGAAGUUGGCGAGUCUGAGGUCGCUGCUCCUGUGAUGUGCUGCCUCGGAGCGCCGCGGCGAAGGAAACUCCAGGGUUGUGGGAACAUCCCACGGACUUUCCGAAGUGGCUGUCUAUUGGAGUAUCGACAAAUCCCACAUUUGUGACCCCGACUCAACAUGGACGCCGCAGACAGCUCGCAAGCAGCAGUAUCCAGAGGCUGUGCGGCAUCCAGUUCUCACGUACAACCGCCCACCACCCAGCAGCUAACGGACUCGUGGAUCGCUUCCACUGGACACUGAAGGCAGCCAUCAUGUGCCACGCGGACUAACAGUAGACUGAGGCGCCUCCUCUGGUUCUCCUAGGAAUCCACACUGCAUUGAAGGAGGACUUGCAAGCAUCGGUAGCUGAGCUCGUGUACGGCGAGCCCUCAAGCAUCCCGGGCAAGCUACUCACUCCAGCUACCGACCCCGUGGAUCCAGCGCACCUCACCACAGCUCCGCCAGCACAUGGCCCGCCUCCGGCCAGUCCCAGCAGCAUGCCACGCCUCCCCAGCUACUUUCUUGCACAGGUCCCUACAAGGACCACACGCUCCGGGCGCCACAUCCAUUUCCCCGAUCGCCUGAACUUAUGAGCAUCAAUUCUCGCGAGCGGGGGAGUGAUGUGGGAACAUCCCACAAACUUUCCGUAUUGGUUGUCCAUUAGAGUAUUGACAAAUCCCACACAGUGUUCCACUCUGACAUGUUCUUCAUCGCCUGACAGCGCGUGCGGUACAAACCGCGCACAGACCUUCCGUUUGCCCAAAUCCUUGGUCAAAAUUUGAUGCACAGUACUUUUUUGUAUUCCCAAAAGCUCCUCGAUGAGUCUGGCAGAAAUACAGUUAUCUGAUGCCAGGAUUUCGGUCACUUUUUUCACAUUUUCUGCAAUGCGACUUGUUCUCGGGUUUGAUGCACGUGGAGCGUCUUGAAUGUCCUCCCUGCCGUCAGGAAAUACAGCAUACAAUCGAAAGAUGUUCGAGCGACUCAAACAAGCACUACCGUACACACUCUUCGUCAUUUUGUAUGUUUUUCCGGCUGU